AAAGCUUCGUCUCCCUAUGUCCACCAGUCAUCGUCUCUGUCAUCUCUUUCUUGCUCCUCACUCUUCUCCAAUGGCUUCAGCUAUGAUGGAGGACAGUUUCGAAGACGAUCAGCUGGCCUCAAUGACCACCGACGACAUCAUCAGGGCCUCUCGCCUCCUCGACAAUGAGAUCCGGAUCCUCAAGGAUGAGUUACAGCGGACGAAUCUCGAGUUGGAAUCCUUCAAGGAAAAGAUAAAGGAGAACCAGGAAAAGAUAAAACUUAACAAGCAGCUCCCUUAUCUCGUUGGUAACAUCGUCGAGAUUUUGGAGAUGAAUCCAGAAGAUGAGGCUGAGGAAGAUGGUGCAAAUGUUGAUCUAGACUCACAAAGAAAGGGAAAAUGUGUUGUUCUAAAAACUUCUACACGACAAACCAUCUUCCUUCCUGUUGUUGGGUUAGUCGACCCUGAUAAACUUAAACCUGGAGAUUUGGUUGGGGUUAACAAGGACAGCUACCUAAUCUUGGACACCCUUCCUUCGGAAUAUGACUCACGAAUAAAGGCAAUGGAGGUUGAUGAAAAGCCAGCUGAUGAUUACAAUGAUAUUGGUGGCCUUGAGAAGCAGGUAACCCCUACUUCCACAACGUAGGUAUGAGCUUUUUUGUGUUUGUAAUGAAAUUCCACUGCUAAAGAGCCAAUUGCCAUUCUAACUUUCAGAUUCAAUCUUAGUUAUUUUUAUUUCUAUAGAUAUUGCAGUCUUGCGUGAGUCCUCCCUAAGGUUAUUACCUAAGAAAUGCUUACUCUUAUUUCCUUAUUGUAUCUGCUACUAAAUGCUUCUAUUGGUGUCUAUGAAUCCAAGAACUUGUUGAAGCCAUUGUGCUGCCAAUGACACACAAAGACCGGUUUCAGAAAUUAGGGAUUCAUCCACCUAAAGGAGUGCUUUUGUAUGGACCACCUGGAACUGGGAAGACACUGAUGGAUCGUCCAUGUGCAGCACAGACAAAUGCUACUUUUCUGAAGCUAGCAGGACCCCAACUCGUUCAGGAAGAAAGUAUGGCAGCUUUGCCUAGGAGGAGUCGAGAGCGAUAGUUGAUAGGGCUACAUUCCUUAUUGCAGAGCGUGUCAGGAAGUAAUCAUUGUCUGGCAAGACCAGUCAUGUCGAAGUUUAGGUGUUCGUCGAAUUGAUAGAAUCGGAGCAUUAUGGUUGAGUGAGGGGUUAUGACAUUGGAGUUACCCCCACUCAGUUGUUUACAGUGAGCAGAUAUAUUUGAGAUGCCCGACAUAGGUUUGUAGUUUGAAGGCAGCGAUGGAAGAGAUGAGGCAGAGCCAUCUGACAGAGAUGGAGGAGAUGAGGCAGAGCCAUCAAAUAGAGAUACAAUCUUUGAGGGCUCAGCUUGACCAGAUUACAUCUUUGUUGCAUAGGUUUCUGAUGCUUCUAGUACUCAGAGACGAUGAUGAUGAUGCCAUCUAUCCCUGAUAGCUCUUAGACUAUUUAUUUAGGUAUUUUAUAUGUAUAUUUUGUAUAUUUUUCGAACCACAUUAUAAAUGUAAAUUGAGAAUGUAAAUAUAAUUAUAUUUGAUAAUAUGAAUAUUUCGAAAGAUCUGUUUGAUCGUGACAUGUGU